rnacentral:lncRNA from 1 species
CGGCAGUAACAGCAACUGUCCUAGUGAGGCCUGUCAGGCCCCGCCCUGGGCCAGGUGGUAAGUGGCAAGAGCAGGGCCCUCAGGCACUCACUCAGGGGAGUCCUCCCGGGCAGCAGGCAGCAAGCAGUAAGCAGUCCUUGUGAGGCUUCAGGCCCCGCCCCAGGCCAGAUGGUAAUAAAAAUCAAGAAAGGAAUAGUCCACCAUAUAAAAGUUUCUUAAGGUAUUAAUUGUAAAUGCUUACAUGAGGCUAAAGACACUCCAGGUUGGGAUCUACCAUUUUGUGUGUUCAUUGAGACCUGUUGCUAUAGGGGUUCAAAACAAAAAAACAGACAAACCCCAAUUUGCUGUAAAAUACUAUGCUUCCUCGUUAAUACUCAUUAUUUUAUUUUAAAACAUUUGCAUAUAUUACACAAUACAUCUAGUCUUAAAGAGUGUAGAAAGAUAGGUUUUCCUACAAAAUGUUCCAUUUUUGUUUGUAUGAUCUUGAAUUAUGAAUUACAGCAGUUCUUAAUUCUUUAUUUUUCAGGAAUCUGAGGAUCUUUUUUAAAAGUCCUUUCAGCAUAGCAUUUAUGCAAGAAUAACUACUCUUGGAUUCAAUUGCGUUUAAGGAAAUGUUGUUGUAUGGCUUUUUAUGUUCCGAACUUCAAUCAGCCAGUGCCAGCAGUAUCCCUAAAGAAACACCCUCAAUAGACCAUUUUCAGCAUUUUGCUGCAAUUAAACUCCUCUGGUUUUAGCCCUCAGGCAAUUUAGUACCUUUUUACAUAUGCACAUUAUGAACUUUUGACCAGGGCCUGGUAGUCAUAUAUUAGAGAGCAGCUUUUGAAAGCAGACUUAACAAGUUCCUCUGAGUAUUACAUUCCGAGUCAGUUGUGGAAAAGGUAAUUUAACCAACUUGCAGAGAGGCCAUUCAGAAUCUUACUGAUGAUCCUAAAUAUGUCUCCCUCUCUCUUUGCCCCCCCCUUUCUUGUUUCCUCUGGAAGCUGGUAGCAAGAGCUCUCAAAGUAUGUGAUUGAUCUUUUAUUCAGUAGCUAACGAGGGCUGUGAUUCUAUUAGUGCUCUACAAGGCAAGGGAACAGUGAUUUAAUGAAGUGUCUGGUGAGCUGGUCAUAGAUUUAUCCUGUUGUCUCUAAUUUGCAGAGCCCUUGCGAGUGGUAAAAGAAACUGCACUCACGCUGCCAUUAGGCAGGUAUUUCCUUAGUAAAUUGUUGUAAGGUCAGGUGUAGUUACCUUAGUGGAGACAAUGCCUUACCUCCUCAGUGUCUCCAGAUGACAGCCGCUGCACUAAGCACUCACUGAAGCAGAAACACGGAGAUCAGAGGUCCAUUCCGAGUCCCCCUUAGCCAAUGCUUGAGCAGAUGAACUGCCAAGUGCAGCUAAUAGAGUCAUAAUUGGUGAUUAGAACUGGGAAGGCACAAUGACAUCUUAAUACAAACUGGUGCGUACUGUAGUUAGUGCCAGCUGUUGUUAAGUGUGUUGGUGUGGACUAAUAUGUGUUUUCUCUGCUUCAGUUCUAAGCAAUUAGGCGACACAUCUUUAAUAGUUAUUGAGCAGCCAGAAAAUAAAGGGUGGUGGUUGCGGGAGAAAAUCCUAGGCCCAUCAAAAUGGCAUUCAUGUGCUUAUUGUACACUUAGCACAGCAUAUAAGCUGUCAGCAUUAGCUCUGAAAUGAUGCAGUAAAAAGUUGGCAUAAAGAGCAGAAAUCUAAUAAAUAUGGUGUGGUGCUUUUUUUCUUCACCAGUGGCAGAGCUUUUAUUCUUCACUGUUCCCAGGGAUCAUUGAUCCCCCCCUCCCCCAAAUGAGCCAUUUCCUUUCUGAUGAAUAACUAUCCUGCUGCAAUUUGCUGUUUUACCAAAGCUGGCACUGGAAGCUUCUGUACCUGAAUUAACCACAAAUUAGUUUUGGUUAAGGGCAGAGUGUUAGGUUGGAGUAACUGGUAUAUAAGGCAAACAUGGAAACUGUUGAGACCAGAAUCGAAGGGCUUCUAUUGUUGUAACAAUUUUUAAUCCUUUGUUCUUGUGCACCAAAAUGGUACUUGGGAAGAAGCACAUGAAUGAGCUUCUGUAGCUCAUUAGUGUUAGUAGCUACACAGAAUUGGUUAAUGUGGCCUGAUUGCUUUCCACUUAAUUCUUUCAUUUAUUUCAUGUUUAUUCCAUCUUUCAUGUAUUUAUUUGCUAAUUACAUUUAUAUUCCAUUCUUCUUCCAUCAUGGAACUCAAUAUGGCAUGCAUGGGUUUCCUGGCAGCCUCCCAUUCAGACCCUGAUCUGACCCAGACCUGUUUAGAUUCAGCAAUGUUCCUAUAUCAUGGGCCUUCAUAUCAUAGACUACAAUCAAAGAUCUCAGAGCAAUGUGCAUGAUAUUUCCAUACUCUCACUCCAAAUUUAACUUCACAAGCCUAUGACGGAAAUCAGACUGGAAUAGAGUGUGACUGGUGCAAGGUUACCAAGCAGUUUUCAUGGCUUUUGUGGGGAUUUGAGCCCUGAUUUCCCUAGCCAUAGUCUGACACUUUCAGCACUACAUCAUUGUAGGUCUCAUAAGUGUGACAAUAGCUUGCCAUUUGCUUUUCCUAUCUUUGAUCUUAGUAUCUUAUUUUUACAUCAUUUUCUUCCUAAGAACUGUGCUAUGUAACCUGAAGGAUGGUACUGCCAGACAAUUUAGAUCUUUAGUAAGUGACAUUUGAAUUUAUGUGAUGUGCUAUUUAAUUUGUUGCUUGCUGUUUGUGCCAAAGGAUCCCUGGUUUUUGGCCCCCAUGAAAAGAACUGUAAUUUUUAUAUGUCAGUUCUGGGGGGAAAGGGAAUAGGUGUGGGAAAUCAGUCAAAUAAUUUGCAUGUAGUUAAGGCGGGCUGUACAAUGUGCUUGCUAAAUAGUAAGAUUCCCAACUUGCACAUGUUUUUACUGGGAUGUCCUUAGCAUAGUCUCCUCCUGUGCUGAACUAGUAUGGCACAGUAUAUUGUCAUAUAGCAGAUCAAGCAGAAAUCCUGCUUCUGUGGAUUGGCAUCUUGACAAUUAGCUUUCUGUGAAUUUUAAUUGUAAGCUGCUUUGGGAGCCAAUCUUGACUGAAAGACUGAAAUCUUUCUUGUUUCUGCAAACCUUAUGAAAUUCAGUGCACUUUUCCUUCUGUAAAUGCCGCCCCCUGCAAUUUCUGUAGUUAUAUUUCAAAGGGAACUAUUUGAAACAAGGAGCCAUGUUGUAUGGACUGCACUACUACAGAUUGCAAGUGUUGUUGGGAGUGGGGGACCUAACUGAAUGCAUCCUGAGUAAGAGAGAUUCCCUGCAUGUACAAUAUUAGCUUUAUCAGAGAACAAUCAAUACUGGAACUUUUUUUCUUGACGUUUAGGAUGCACAAGAAGAGCAUUCAAACAUGUAGUUCCUUAAUCUGUUAUUUUAAGUAGUAUAGUCCAAGAAUGGUUUUAUCAUCUUCCCUGGUGUGUGUGUGUGAUGGAGAAAAUCGUUCAAGGGGAAAAUGGUGAAUGUCACUGAGAAUGUGUUUUUAUUUAUCAUUAAAACUUUUAUAGGCGGCACUUCCCCCUUAUGGAUACAGUGGGCAUGAAUAAAAUUAAAUAUGCCACAAAAAUGCAAACAGGAAACAAUCAUAUUAAAACAAUGAGAGGCAAACGAAAACAAUAAAAUCAUUCUAAAAUAAUAUUAUCAGGAACACAGAUAAGUUUUGACCUGGCCCUGAAACAAUUGUAAAAUCACUGGGUUGUGCUGCUAGGGGGAGGUCCUUCAAAAUGAAGGAAGCCACCAUAGAGAAGACUGCGCUUCUUGUAAGGCUUUGUUUUCUGUACUUUUUUCUUCCUACUUAUUUCUUAAUAUUACAAUCAAGUUAGGAAUUUGUUACCAAUUAAGUAAAAUUUGCAUAUUGCAGUCUGGCAAAGACCUUGAGCAGUUUUACACUGAACUUCUGUGAAGCUAAAAUGUAUCUCCAGAUAAAACUAAAUGGUCAGCAAGAGGAUUCAAAACAAGUUAACUAAAGUUUCUAAUUUUCUAAUAAUGUCACUUGUGUCUUUUGCAAUCUUAUUAUAGUAUUUUCUAGCACACUUCCAUAUCAUCAUUGUCAUUUUAAAAAGUUCUAUGAUGGGACUAGAAGUCUAAGCCUUUUAGCCCAUAGAUCAUUUCACUAGGAAACUCCAUAAAUGGCUUAUUGUAGAUUAGAUGAUGUGGUUCAGAGCACAUCCAAAUCAAUAAAAGAUCAGUCUUAACCUAGCAAAGUGCUCUUACUUUGAUUCUUCUUAGUAAGCAACCAAUGUGAAAAUGUAUGGUUAAGUGUUUUGACUUUUUUUGAAGGGGGUGUAGAACACUGAAACUUUAAGUAUUCCUAAUUCUUAAAUUUCUAUAAUACCCCUUUCUUCUAAAAAGGCCCCAGUUCCUUCAGAUUCUGUUAGCAUUAGAAGCAGUGUUUUCUCUGUGUAUAAAACUAUAUAUACAUACAUAGCCUGAUAAAAAGGCCUGUCUUGUCAAAAGGGACAAAUAACUUCCAAAGAACUGAGUACAGACAGGCAUUUGGUUUGAACCACUAAUACAAACCACAUUCCCCUUCCCCCAAAGCACUACAAAGUAUUUCACAGAAGGAAAACCCCAAACCCAACAAAAAAACUACCUACACCUAAAGACCACACAAAAAUGAAGCUGGACUCACUGACCUCCCUUCUAAGGGCUACAAAUAGGCAAAACCCACUCACCCUUCAAAGCCAUAAAGGAGCAGCUAUAAGCUUGCAUCUUUCAACCACAAAAAAUAAAAAUAAAAUCAAAAUUCAUGAGGGGCAAAGGCCUGCAUAGGUGGAAAUUUAAGUUCAUCUGGAGAACCAAGAAAGGGGCCAAAUUGGGGACUCAGGAAUGUAUAAUAGUGUUUAGGUAUAAUUAAUUAUAUAGCAAGUGAAGUUGUCCAUCAUCACUACUACUACUGCUUACUGCUUUUAUUUUCUUUGGUUUUUUGACCCAUGGGAGUUUAUAUACUUUAUUUAUUUUUCUCACUCAUUAUUUCUCACUCACUGUUUCUCAUACUGUAACUUAGUCCCAGACACAUUGUUGUGCUGUACUGUAUGACAUCUUCUGCUGGGUCUUAUUCAAGAGCUUUAGGGCUCUGGAUCCAUGACUUCAUUUUUGCCUUCCUAACAAUGCUGUGUAUAAUGUUCUGCGUUAUGAUGCACUGAGGGAGAAAGUUGUAUGUACAACUUCAGCCUUCUAUCCAUGAUUCUCAUGUAAGGACUGACCAAACAAUAAAAACCUAAAAACUGGAACUACAAAUGUGAUGAUUCUAGCCCUGUGAGUUAUUGAGAAAUGAAUGAACCAGUGGCAAAUGCUUUUGAAUUUAGGUCAGCCAGGCCCAGCCCAAUCUGGUUCUGUCUACUGGCCCACACAUUGCCAAACCAAAAUUGCUUGAUAUACUGAAUUGUUGGAUUGCCUGUGUAAAGGGUUUGGGGAUUUCUGCUUAGUUUAUUAUGGAGCAGAUAGUCAUAAUUAUGUACAAUUUAAUUAAUUGUACUAGCAUGGUUUAAACUUGAUUUUGAUUAAUAUAUGUUUCAGUUCCAGUAAGGAUAUUACAAUGGGCCAGAGAGAAAACAUAUGAAAGCCCUUAGUGUUUGCUUCUGUGCAAUCAUUCUCUCAUUUGUGGCUUGACUGUUAUGUCCAGCAUGUUUUCCGAAGACACUGACAUAUUUCAAAUAUAACAGUGAGCUAUGAUUAAACAUUACAUGCACAAACAGUGGUGAACCUUGGGCUACGAGGACGAUACAAGAACCAUUCACUUCUGCUUAUAACUAAGAGGAGUUUCAGUUAGGAAAACUGGCUAAAAAAUUUGGCUUGAAGAAAACCCAGGACCAUAAACCAUUGUUUGAUUGCAGACCAGUCAGGAUUAUAAACUACAGUUUGAUCCUUGUUUAUUGAACAAACCAUAGUUUGCCAUAUUAGAGGAGAGAAUGCAUGAGCCAAAGCUGCUGUUCAUGCAUAUAACUAUAAACUACACUUUAAGCAUUACGUCUGAAAAGGACCCACAGUAUACAUUAAUCUAAUAGGUGUAGUUACUUCCUUCAACACCCUUUCACUACCCUUAAGGAAACCUAAUGCAUCUAUUGGUCUUCUUGAAAUAACUACUGAUGCAUUAUAAUUGGUCAAGGAGGGAGACUAAUGUUUCUUGACCAGGCCUAUUGACCAGUAUGCGUUUGCACAUGUUGUUAAUAAUUUAUUCUUGGGGGGGAAAUCUAUGUGCAUUAUAGUCUUUGAUGUCAUCAUGAAUUUCAAAGCCAACCAUUUCAUUUUC